GCCUGGUUUUUUGUCAAAAAUGGGGAUCCUUCAUCUAAGUUUUGUUAGAGAGAAAGAGGGGUCCAAAUUAGGUCUGUUGGAGUUUAAAAAUAGAAACGGCCAUUUUUUGUAUGUGCGAGUAGUGAGUGAAGAUAAAGGGGAAAGCUGCUCUCGAUCUCGGUGGGGGAAAGUCCAUAGGGUUAGAAAAAAGUUAGAGAGCUGCUAGUUUCUCAAAAAAAAAAAGGGCAGGUGAUCUGAUGAUUUUGGUCUCUU
rnacentral:lncRNA from 1 species